GAUUGAAACUGAAUUAGAAGAGUCAACACAGCUCAGAGAUUGACAGUGACUGGUGAGCUUUACAUGUCCUCAUUUUUGAGAGAGGGUAACAGCUUCCAAUUAAUUACAUCUCCUUGGGCACAAAGAAUUGCUUUUGUGGUGGGACAGAAGUUCAAAGGUGUAGAAGGCUGUGUGCAGAUGCUGAGUGGCUAACAGGGGCUGUGCCAGUUAGGAAGCUCGUCUCUCAGUUCCACACCCGCUCUUUUUAGCUCUGCUUUUGUGAUACCAGCGACAGAACUCUGCAAACAUCUCUGCUUCGCAGCUGGCAUCCUGUUGGAUUUUUCCAGUAGAGGGAAGCUUCCAUGCUGCAGGAAGAAGGGGCGUGCUCCUUCCCGUUCCUGUCAGCACUGCUGCAGCAGUUUGCUCUCACAGCUGCAUGUGAUCCCAGCUGCCAUUUCUGACCUGCUCAGAACCAGCUUCAUGAUGGGCUCAAAGACCCAGGACCAGCUCUGGCAUGUACACGUGGCCACGGUACCCUUCGUACAACACGGGAAGAGAACAACAGGACGCCCAAGAGGCAUCUGGACAGCACACAGCAAACAGAAAGGCUGAACGCCCCCCCAUGGAACCCCAUUAAAAAACAAUGUUUGUCUAUUACAAA
rnacentral:lncRNA from 1 species